rnacentral:lncRNA from 1 species
GGGACCUGAUAUGGCAGUUCCUUGAUGUGGGGAGUGUCUUUGCAUCCAGAAAGCCCCGGGGCUGGGGUUCUGGCUUGGUCUUGGAAGGGGUUCUGGGGUGGACUUGGGGGUGCUAUUUGCAAGUUAGAAGCCGAGGCUGGAGUUCUGCGGGGCCUGAGGCUGGGGCUCCGAUCUGCGGGACCCGGGGUCGCUGUCUGCAAUCUGGGCUGGUGACGGCAGGCCCGCAGGGGGGCCCGGAGGGGGCCCGGAGGUCCUACCUGGCGAGUAGAGCGCGGCUAGCUCGCGGGCCCCGGCAUGCUGCGCGCCCCAGCGCCGGCCAUACGCCGCCUCGUCCUCGUCGAGCUCCGGCUGCUGGCCCGGCCCAUCCUCGGCGCCCGCCAUGGCCCCUCGCCCGGCCCGCCUGGCACGCUCCGCUAGCGCUGCUGGCGGCGGCGGCGGCAGGGCCGCGGAAUCGCGGCGAGAUCACGCCGCCCAAUGACUGCCCAGCGCCGGGCGCGGCGGCGGCGCCGGCAGCCGCCUCGCCCGGCCGCGCGUCACAGCCAAUCGGGGCCCGCGCCGGGGCCGCGCCGGCCAAUCAGCGGCCGCCGAGCCGCAGCCAACCGCGGCGCGCGGGGGGCAGGGCCACAGCUGGGCGCAGCUGGGCGCGGAAGCGCAUCUCCGCGGGCUGCCCUGCGCCCCCGGGCCGGCCCGGCCCGGUCCGCCUCCCCGACACGCGCGGGCCGGCACCGCCCACCAUGGGCUCGGCCGCUGGGCCUGCGCAGUGGGCCGGAGUUGUGCGCCGCCGCGCCCAGAAACGGGCCUGUUUUCAGCCCGCACCGCCAAGCGCCUACUGUGUGCAAGGAGCGCGAGCGGAGGGCGCGGGGACGGGGCCAGGGAGCCCUCGCUUGGAGGACUCUUUGAAUAGUGCUCCCUAGCUGGGGCCGGUUUGCGCUGGGCUGCCUUAUGGAGCCUCACCACCUGCAGAGAUGACGAGGACCGUGCGUACACCUACUGGGUGCCGGCUUGUGCUGUGCGCCCUGGGGAGGAGAAACGUCGAGCCUGACCCCCAGGAGCUCCUGUUCUCCCCAGGGAGAGGACAGUAAACCGAUGAGAAUGACCCUAAGAGUCACUGUAAGAUUUGGCAUUUUACAGACCCCAAAAAAUGUGAAGGGUCUUCCCACCCGCCAGGCUUACACUGAGAACACUUUCUGGGAUGUUCUUGGGACUGUGACCUGAAUGGGGACCAUGGAUCCUGGGCAAAAUCAUGCAAUGACUUUCCUCUUCCUAGGAGCAGAUUUAGCCCUGAGCUAACAUCUGCUGCCAAUCCUCCUCUUUUUGCUGAGCAAGACUGGCCCUGAGCUAACAUCUGUGCCCAUCUUCCUCUACAUUAUACGUGAGACACCUACCGCAGCAUGGCUUGAUAAGUGGUGCGUAGGCCCGUGCCCUGGAUCUGAACUGGUGAACCCUGGGCCACAGAAGCAGAGUGCAUGAACUUAACUGCUGUGUCACCGGGCCAGCCCCUAACAUCUUUAUUAUUAAACUGAUGACUACCAAGGUCAUUGUACCCAUUCCAAAGACAUAAAACAUACACCUUCCCAAAGAGAAGAAAAUCAGUAACAUCCACAAAUCUGCUGAAAGAAUUUGUAUUUAGGGGCUGCCGCCGUGGCCGAGUGGUUAAGUUCACAUGCUCUGCUGCAGGCGGCCCAGUGUUUCGUUGGUUCGAAUCCUGGGCGCGGACAUGGCACUGCUCAUCAAACCACGCUGAAGCAGCGUCCCACAUGCCACAACUAGAAGGACCCACAGUGAAGAAUAUACAACUAUGUACUGGGGGGCUUUGGGGAGAAAAAGGAAAAAAAUAAAAUCUUAAAAAAAAAAAAAGGAAUUUGUAUUUAGAAGUCCCGAUUGUAGGCGCUGUACAGCUAAAGCACUGGUUCUUAACUGAGGAUAUUUUGGGCCCCCGGGGGACAUUUGGCAAUGUCUGGAGACACUUGUGGCUGUCACACCACGGGUGACAUGCUCCUGGCUGCUGAACAUCCUGCCGUACACACGACAGCCCCACAAACACAGGGUUCUCCAGCCCCACAUGACAAUCGAGCUGAGGGUGAGAAACUAAUCGGUCAGGAAACUGGGGAGAGACGCUUUCCUCUGUUGCACUUGGAGCACCCCACGGAUCUAAAUUCACCCCCGCAAUUCUGCUGCUCUCAGGCUGCCCUGGGAAGCCCCACUCCUACAGGCACAGGGAGGCCCAGCCAAGUCUGUUUACAGGGCUCCAAACUGGAACCAACCCAUAUGCCCCAUUAGGAGAAGACUGAUGGAAUAAAACUGUGCUUGCAGCUCUUCCCCCGACUCUGCCGCUCUUCUGUAAAAUGGGGCUGGGGAGGGGGGAUUGGAGGGGUGCUAGGAAUCCUGGGCCCAGCUGCUACUUUACGAUUUAUGUGCAUAAGUCCUUCUGACUCAUGUGUGAUUGAUGCAUUAGGAUUCUGUGCUGACAUGUCUCGGGCUUUUAUUGACAAGUCUGGAGGCUGCCAGAAUGUCUCUCCACUGGAAUCGAAGGCGGGGCUGCUGCCGAGCCACCUUUGGCUCCUGAGGGCCCAGCUCAGGGUCUGGCUCAUUUUAAAAGCAACUGCCAUUUCUUUAGUGCCAGCUGUAUACCAGGCUGAGUGCUGAGGCUGCUUUGUGACUCUCGCGCUCCCGCACGGGGAUGAGCACAUUUACUCUCUUGCUUCCGUUUUAUAAAGGAGGAAACUGAGGCUCAGAGAGGGCAUGAUACGCAGCUGGGGAAGGCGGAAUUGGGAUUCAGACCUAAGAUGAGUCAAUUUCCAAAGUCCACGCUCUUUCCAGUCUACUGAAUCUUCUCUGUGCGUCGUAGGCGCUCAGAAAAUGCGUGAGUGGCAGAGAACAGACAAUAUAUGCAUUGGUAACAGUACCCCUAGUUUUAGCAGAGAACAUGGCUGCCCAGCCCUGUCAGUUAAGGACUGACCACUGUUUCCAGCCUCCCUUGCAGCAGUGUAGGACAUCUGACUAACUCUGGCCAAAAGAAUGAGAGGGAAAGUGGCACAAAGCAUUCUGGUUUGUGUCCCUAAAUGGGUUGAAUUCUACUUCCUUUUCUAUACUUCCCACUGGCAGGAAUGUAGACGUGAUGGCAGUGCCAGAGCAGUUACCUUGGACCAUGAGGUGGAAACUGCCGGUUGAAGAUGGAAGAGCAGCUGUAAGAUAGCAAGAAUCUGAGUCCCUGAUACCACGAAGCUGAUGUGGGCUCGGCGAGCUGAGGAGUCAGAAGAAAGAUUUCUUGGAGUCUUCAGGUCUGCAUGGAGCCUGCAUCUCGCCAGUGCAUCUCUUAAAAGAACGUAUGGAUGAGUGCAUGACGGGGAGCCGUGAGAUCCAGCCCUGCACCUGGAAAAAGGCACAAAGACCACACUCAAGCCUGGGUGGAAGCAUCGUCCAAAUGCAGUGGAAAAAUUUAUGGCCAGAGGAACUAGUUCCAAACCUGGCCCUUCUCCUCGCUUGCUGUGUGCCCCUGGAUAACCCACGUGCCCUCUCUGGGCCUGACACUCCUUGGUUGCAAACCAGGCUUAGCAAAUUCAUGGACUCUGUGCAAUUUAAAGAUUUUCAUUGCUCUUUGCAAUUCUAUUUCUAGAAAUCCAUUCCCAGAGAAAUUCUCACCUCACACCCCAUGAACACAGGUACAAGGAUGUAGCUUGGUUUGUGGAGUAAAACCCUGGAAAUAUCCUCAAAGGUGAUUAAUUAAACUGCGGCACAUUCAUGUUCUAGAGUGCUAGAGAGCUGACUGUGGCCGCGAGGAAUUCUCUGGUGACACUUGCUGGCACAGAAUGACACUGCAGCCCAGCUCAGCAAGGCACUGGGAAUUUCCAGAACCAGAGAGGCUCAGGGUAGCUGUGAGGAUGGUCUGGGAAGCCAUAGACCAGGGGGAGGUUUGGGAGGACGGCUGAGGCAAGGUGACUGGCCAGGGUGUGAAGUCGAGAGCAGAGACCCGGGUGUGAACUCCAGCUUCACCACUUCCUAGCUGGCGGAGCUUGGGCAGAUUAGGGACUUUCUCUGACCCUCAGUCUCUUCUUCUAGAGAAUGAGAUGUCUGAUGAGGAUUCAAAGAGAGAAUUCAUUCAUUCAUCAUCUAUUGAACCAACACUGAGCCCCUCUGAUGUCAGUGGUUGAUGAGAGUCUCCAGGCACUGAGGGUGCACCAGGACCUGGUCCUGCCCUCAUGGGGCUCUCAGUCUAGUGGGGGAGACAAUCAACAAGUAAACAGGCAGACAAGGUAAUUUCAGGUACUGAUGACACCGUAAAGGAAAAUAAAGCAGGGGAUGGGUCUGGGGGUGGAGGCACAUUACAGACACGGGCUCGGGGAGGGCGUCUCGGAGAGGGUGUGAGCAGAGGCCUGAAGGAGCCACAUCUUGGAGCACAACAUAUAAGACGCCAGUGGACGAACCUGGCACAUAGCAAAUCUCAAUAAACGCUGGGUCAUUGUCUCAUCACGCGGGAAAGGAAUUAAAGGGAGACUGGAAUCCGUCUCCUGGGGUCUGAGGCAGGCACGAGAGUGAGAAGAUUCCCGGGGCCUGGAGGGGGAGAAGCAGCCCCUGGACCGAGCGGCCCCAGCUCUGGAGGCCUUGCGCAAACAAGUGUCUAAGCCUCCAUUUCGUCCUUCGGAAAACAAGGCCAAUAAUGCCCACCCUGUGAUAUUGGGGGUUGUUACGGGCUGAACUGUGUCCCCCCAAAUCCAUGUAUUGAAGUCCUAGCCCCCAGGACCUCCAAUGGGACUGUGUUUGGAGAGCGGUUUUUGAAGAGGUGGUUAAGGUAAAAUGAGGUCAUGAGGGUGGGCCCGAAUCCACUAGGACCGGUGUCCCUGUGAGAAGAGGAGAUGAGGUCACGGGCACACACAGAGGGAUGACCUUGUGAAGACACAGGGAGAGGACAACCAUCCACAAGCCAAGGAGAGAGGCCUCAGAGGGAACCAAUGCUGCUGACACUUUGAUCUUAGACUUCCAGCCUCCAGAACCACAAGACGAUAAACUUCCAUGGUUUAAGCUGCCCGGUCUGCGGUCCUUUCUUAUGGCAGCUGUGCAGGGGAGUACGGGUGACGUAGGACACAGGCACACAGGGCCCUCGAGAGAGGCUGCCCCGGAGCCCGACUCGUGAACCCUCAGCAUCUCUGCAGACUCCAGGCCAGUCUCAAGAUUGCCGCGGUUGCUCUGAAGCUGGGCCCAGUGUGCCUCUGGAUUGCCUAGCCUUGGGGACCCAGCUCACUUAGUUUCUGCCCUGCCCUCUGGUUCAUUACUCCAUCAAUCCACAAACUUCACGUGGUGCCCCUGCGGCCAUUCUGUAAAUUAUGGCGUGGCGGGUGCAUCAGCUGGGGUCCAGUCUGGAAAGCGGAGAUCACUCUGGGCAUUUCAAACAGAAGGAAUGGCGUACAGGGAAGUGCUUAUACAGACGAUGGGAGAGCUGAGACGCCAAAAGGGCAGGAUUAGGCACCCUGGAAUGGGCCACAGCCGGAGGCCAGAGGCACAGAAGGAGGCUGUGGUGUCACUGGAUACAAAAAGCCAGGGCUAGAACCACAUGGGGGCUGCCUGGUGGGAACUGGGACCAGGAAGGGAGGGCCUCUUGGGUAGGGGCUGUUCCUCUGUCCUCAGAGCCAUUGCCCGCCCUUCCUCCAUUCUUCACUGAAUUACAGAGUGGCUGACCUCUGCCGGCUGCAUUGCCCAGACUCCGGGUGGGCUGACUUCCCAUUGGCCAAUAGGUGGUCAUGAUGGGAGACAGGAGGCUGGAGGAAGGGAGAAGCAGAAUAUUUCUCCCUCUCUUCUGACAUCUUGGGCUGCAUCUCCAUCAACCGUGGUGUCUCCCCCAGGGCUCCAGCCCUCGCAGGACAGUCCACAGUGCUUCCAGCUUCGCAGAGUGACCACAGGGCUACUGUAAUGUUACCUCCUCCUGCCAUCCCUCCAGCUUCAAGGUGGCAAUGGCUUUCUGCUGAAAUCUCUGAGCUGCUUCACCGUCUCUUGUUUGGCUUCUGGGCCCCUCCGUCAUCUCGGUACCGCGUUCUCUGCUGGAAAGUCUGUCUGUGUAAACGCUCAGUGGUUUCCUUUCCCGAUAUGAGGAAAGGACCUGAGAGCUAACUGGCAAGCGGCCAGCCCAGAAGGCCUCUCUUGCCCCUUUGUCCUUCUUACAGAUAAAAGCCGGGCAGCCUGCAGAUGGCAGAGGCAGCUGGGUGUUAGGGAUCAAAGGCUGGCCCUCGAGUCAGGCAGG